AGGCUGAUGUCAUCACCCUCGUCCAGGAAGGCACCAACAGAGAUGGAGUUGCAGAAUUUUUUGGGCUUGCCUGCAAACAGGGAUGAUGAAUCAACAACACAGACUGGACUUGCAGCUUCCCUGCUACAGAAUAGUUGAGCGUACCUGGAGAGGGGCUUUUGAACCUGUUGCUGGUCUCGUUCUCCCCGGCCUCCUCAUGAACCCGCGGGUUGAAAUCCUUCUUGCUCAGGAUCAGAUUUGAGGAUGUCGGCUCGGUCUCUAGGUGGUGUCUUCCAGGACCGACGAAAAUCAUCUGCCUACAGGAAAAGGUUAGAUUUUCUAGCCAAGACCUCUUUCAAAUGAUAACAAUGAAACCGGUUUGGAUCUCCAAACUUUAUGAUGUGAUUUUCUGAAAUACACAGAAAGAGACAGGUGUUUAGGUAAAGAACUUGCUUUA